GACAGCAGUAGCCGCGGUAAUACGGAGGGUGCAAGCGUUAAUCGGAAUUACUGGGCGUAAAGCGCACGCAGGCGGUUUGUUAAGUCAGAUGUGAAAUCCCCGAGCUUAACUUGGGAACUGCAUUUGAAACUGGCAAGCUAGAGUCUUGUAGAGGGGGGUAGAAUUCCAGGUGUAGCGGUGAAAUGCGUAGAGAUCUGGAGGAAUACCGGUGGCGAAGGCGGCCCCCUGGACAAAGACUGACGCUCAGGUGCGAAAGCGUGGGGAGCAAACAGGAUUAGAUACCCCGGUAGUCCCUGUCUCUUAUAC
rnacentral:rRNA from 1 species